CGUACCCCAAACCGACACAGGUGGAUGGGAUGAGAAUUCUAAGGCGCUUGAGAGAACUCGGGUGAAGGAACUAGGCAAAAUAGCACCGUAACUUCGGGAGAAGGUGUGCCCUUGUUAGGUGAAGCGACUUGCUCGUGGAGCUGAAGAGGGUUGCAGUGAACUGGUGGCUGCGACUGUUUAUUAAAAACACAGCACUGUGCAAACACGAAAGUGGACGUAUAGGGUGUGACGCCUGCCCGGUGCCGGAAGGUUAA
rnacentral:rRNA from 1 species